GGGCCCGCACAAGCGGUGGAGCAUGUGGUUUAAUUCGAUGCAACGCGAAGAACCUUACCAGGGCUUGACAUACUACGAAUUCUCUUGAAAAAGAGAAGUGCCUUCGGGAAUGUAGAUACAGGUGGUGCAUGGCUGUCGUCAGCUCGUGUCGUGAGAUGUUGGGUUAAGUCCCGCAACGAGCGCAACCCUUAUUUUUAGUUACCAAUUCGUUGGGUUUUUUAGAAAGACUGCCGGUGACAAACCGGAGGAAGGUGAGGAUGACGUCAAGUCAGCAUGCCCCUUAUGUCCUGGGCUACACAUGUGCUACAAUGGUUAAGACAAAGAGUCGCGAGCUUGCAAAAGUCAGCUAAUCUCGUAAACCGUGGCUCAGUUCAGAUCGUAGGCUGCAACUCGCCUACGUG
rnacentral:rRNA from 1 species